rnacentral:tRNA from 1 species
GCGCCGCUAGCUCAACUGGCAGAGCAGCUGACUCUUAAUCAGCGGGUACGGGGUUCGAGUCCCUGGCGGCGCA